rnacentral:lncRNA from 10 species
CUCCCUCCCUCCUGCCUCCUUCUUUCCCUUAUAAGGACCCCACCUUGGACCCACCCAGAUAACCCAGGAUCAUCUUCCACCUCAGGCUCCUUCACAUCCUCACAUCUGUAAAGUCCCUGUGGCCACACAACACAGCAUUUGGACAGGUCCCGGGACUGGGACACAGCCAUCCCUGGGCCCUAAUUCAGCCACCCACAGCUCCUUUCCCUCCUUCCUCUCUCCUCCGGGCAACAACUGGAAACAACCCAAGUGUCCGUCAGCUAGAGAAUGGAUAGACCCAUGUGGUCUCUGCAUACAGUGGAGUGCUGCUCAGUUAUACAAAGAAAAGGAACUAUGGAUACAGGCCACAGGAGGGAUGAACUUCAAAACAUUACACUGGUGCCGGGGGAAGGUGGCACCCUGUUAUGAAUCUGAUAUUUAUGAGGCUGUGGCUGCUGCAACAUCAGAAUCCACUACUGUAGAGCCUGGCAAGCCGGAUGUGGGAGCCACGGAGGGCCACGACCUGCAGCACAUCAGCAACCAAAAGAUGCCCACAGGGUCCCCUGAGGACAGCCUGAGUUUAAAAUCUCUACCACCAAGUGAGGAAGACAAUGACAAUGCCCAGAUUUUACCAUCACGUGUGCAGGGUACGUACCUUGAACUCACUUUUUGAGAAACCUACUUGCUGGCUUUAAUAUAUAGGUACCUUAAUCUGGGUUCCUGUUAAAAAUAUUGGGGGUGUGGUGAGAGCAAAUGAUUUUACAAGUGUAUAGGUAUGAGCAGAGGGGCUGUAGAAAUGUGUGUGAACCCAGAGGACCAACCAGGAGAUUUUGUGUGAGCCGAUGUGUCUUCAUCUGGAGUAGGAGAAGUGAGUGCAGCUCUCAGUGACUUAUCGUGAUGUUGGUGGUUCUAAAGAGUGGAUUCUGGAGAAUCUCAGCAGGGAAGAGGAUGCCUUUCCAGGUAGGCAACAAGACAUCAGAUGGGAUCUAAUAAAACAGCAUUUCCAGGAACCUUCAUGUUUUACCUGCUGCUUGGGAGGCUCAGGGUUGGUGUAGAAAGAGAAAAAGGAAAAGUAAAUAUAAGCCACGUUUGUUAUUUUC